AAGAGAAAAUUGUAUAUAUGUGAUCAGCUACAUGAAAUGUAUCCUUUCAUUAUUUGUGAUUAAGCAUAUUUCUACAUGACUUUUUACCUAGUAACUUGUGUGCUGAACUUAUGCAGAUACUAACCGCAUCCUGUCGUUCUGAACAUUUAGAUGUAGAGAAGACCAAGCUCAGCUCUUUUACGAGAACAUACAGAUAGAGAAAAGGGAAAAACCCGCUGCCUUGACUGAUGUUAUCUUCACACACACACACACACACACACACACACACACACACACACACACAAAACAUCUUGUAUAAAUAAAGGACGCGGACAGUCGUGGGGCGCAGUUCGUGCGUUCCAUGACUGCCCCUCGCGAGUGAAAAACUUCUGCAGUGUUUGUGUGUUUUCUGACUCAGACGUCUCAGCUGAAGAAUGGCAGGGUGAUUUAAAGAAAUCCUCUGUCAUUUAAAUUGGUCCUUCGAACCUAGCGAUGGAAACAAGCAGACACGUUUCUGUGACUCCAAUAAGGUCUGACUUCUGCAUCCUGACGCCGUGGGUAAACCAGCACCGAAGUCUGUCGACAGCCCUCUCCAGGUAGAGGUGAGAGUCCUGGGCGUAAAUUCGCAUCCAGGCCGGUCCUGGUCCACGACGCUGGGAUCCAGAUGACCUGAAGAACCAGCAAAAGACGACUGAGGGUGAGAAAACACUUUUUGGUUUUAAACCGCCGGAAGGGUUUAGAAGAAUGCGCAAAAUAGGUUAGAAGUAGCCGGAAUUACUUCAGGAAAUGCGCAAAGGUUGGAAGUAGCCGGAAUUACUUC